UACGCAGGGGCCUAGCGUUGUCCGGAUUUAUUGGGCGUAAAGAGCUCGUAGGCGGCUCGUCGCGUCGACCGUGAAAACCCGCGGCUUAACUGCGGGCUUGCGGUUGAUACGGGCGGGCUAGAGUUCGGUAGGGGAGACUGGAAUUCCUGGUGUAGCGGUGAAAUGCGCAGAUAUCAGGAGGAACACCGGUGGCGAAGGCGGGUCUCUGGGCCGAUACUGACGCUGAGGAGCGAAAGCGUGGGGAGCGAACAGG
rnacentral:rRNA from 1 species